GAUCAACAUACAAGGGUAUUUAUUAAUAAUCCUUUUCUAAGCAGGUGAGAAGAUAACACAGGUAAAGGGAGAAGAGAUACAUGCAACUGAUAAGUAUUCCCAUAAAUUGCACAAACUUGGACUCAUGGUUGAAAGUCAUAUAAACUGUAGAAAGAGAUAUCCAAUAAAAUGCAUUAAAAAUAGUAUUUUACUGAUGAAGUGGCUGUGGCUUGUCAUGUAAAAGCUUUCCGACUCAUUGGAAUGCAGCAAAGACCUCCAUGUCUGCAGUCACAUCUAAAAAGUUUAAUCGAUAUUCAAAAUUGUAUAAAAAAUUUUGAGUGUAAAAUUGUUAGCUGCUUCACCAAAUUCUUGAAAAUUUUGAGUGGAUAUGACGAAUGAAAGAAUGUAAAAGUCCAUCCGAUUAAAGAUUCCUCUGGUAGGGAGGGAUAAGUAAUCAGAAAACCAAAUGGAAAUAGGCAAAGGGCAUCAAAACUAAAAUAAUAAAAAGGAAUCACGAGGAAAGACUACAAUCGAUGUAUUGGAAUUUUAGAAUUCGUCUGUUCCAAUUUAUACAAAGAGGAAUCAUAAUCGAAAUACACAACCAAAAUAGGAAUAAAAAAAUAAUUUUGGGACUUUUUUUUACCAUGAAUUGUGAUCGAUGGCAACAGAAAAAGACAAGUAUCUUCCUACCCAUUUGAAAUAAUGACAAGUGCUCAAAAAUAUAAUUAAUUUUAUCAAAAUAUUUUCAUUUGAUAUGUAGGAAAAAAAGGUAGGAGGAUAUUUAUUUUCUCCAAAAAGGAUUAUGUGAGAAGGGUUAUAGACACCAAUCAAAUUCUUAUUGGCUUACAUAGUCGGUGAAGGGAAGUGGAAGCCGGCUAAUAAGGGACAGAUCAGCAGGUGCAAAUUUUAAAAAGUGGCGGACGAAAAUUGCCAAAAUAUAAAAAAUUAUGUGGCAUGUCAUAUAUUAAUAAUCAACAACAUACGGUUUAGUUAUUUACCUUGACAUCGUAUAUAGUCAUUUAGCUUUUUCUCCAGAUUUCUAGUUGCUCUUGGCUGCUGUGAAAUAACCACAAAUUAGUAAUUGAAAUACAUAAUUAAGAUAGG
rnacentral:lncRNA from 1 species